AUGCAGGCUGGAAAAUGCCUGGUGGGAAAAAAAAAUUAUACUCAGCCAGUGUUUGAAGCAAGCAUGUCACUUCAGGGAUUCAUACAUACAUAUUGUCAAGUACAGCCUGUUCUCCCUCAACAUACUCUGUGAGCGUCGCACAGGAACCCUGACAGUGAGAAUGACGGCAUCACCUCGGAAUGGAGUUAUGUUCUUCAGAAAGUAACUCGAUGAUGUGGCAGCAGUGAACAAGUGGAUAUUCAAACCUAGAAUUACUGAUGUGCGGAAGUGAAUCACUAGCUGAAGAAAACUGGCACUGAUGGAGCCCAAAGGUUUCCUGACAAUGAGCAGGAAUUUGGCAACAUGAGCUCUGUGAUGAAUGAUUCUAAGCUGUGUUUAGCAGAAACUGGC